GACGAACGCUGGCGGCGUGCUUAACACAUGCAAGUCGAACGGAAAGGCCCUGCUUGCAGGGUACUCGAGUGGCGAACGGGUGAGUAACACGUGGGUGAUCUGCCCUGCACUUCGGGAUAAGCCUGGGAAACUGGGUCUAAUACCGGAUAGGAGCCAUUUUUAGGGUGAUGGUUGGAAAGUUUUUUCGGUGUAGGAUGAGCUCGCGGCCUAUCAGCUUGUUGGUGGGGUAAUGGCCUACCAAGGCGGCGACGGGUAGCCGGCCUGAGAGGGUGGACGGCCACCUUGGGACUGAGAUACGGCCCAGACUCCUACGGGAGGCAGCAGUGGGGAAUAUUGCACCAUGGGCGCAAGCCUGAUGCAGCGACGCCGCGUGGGGGAUGACGGCCUUCGGGUUGUAAACUCCUUUCGCUAGGGACGAAGCUUUUUGUGACGGUACCUAGAUAAGAAGCACCGGCUAACUACGUG
rnacentral:rRNA from 1 species